AACAUAGCUCAUCCAUAGGAAACAGACGUGACUGCUAGCAGGCAGCGGAUGUUUCCUAUGAGAGGAGCGGACAAACAUGAGUAUGCAGGACGAUAGUCCGGAAUACGAAUGUUUGUUACGAUUUCGAGAGUGCGCAGCACGGAGAAAACGUAUAUGUU
rnacentral:sRNA from 10 species